GUUUUAUCAUCUUAACCAGUCUGCUUAUGGGAGUCUGCUGGGCUUAUAGCAUGCACAAUCACAAACCAAGGAGCUCUAGACUUUUAGUUAGAGAGGCUCUGAUACGUUGCGUGGAAACCACUCAAUCUAAAAGCUCAAGCUUACAAGUGAGCAUCCAAGAAUGGAUUUUAUUAUCUUAACAGUUGGUACUCCCUUGUGUGCAUCUGCAUACAUAGUUGUUAUGUAUGAAAAUAAACCAUUGUGAAGAUUGAGGAGCAGUUGAGGAAGUCUCUAGAACUUUUCAAAGAAACAAAUAUCUGUGCCUUAAGUUAUUUGGAUCUCUUCCUAGCCCAGCAAUAGUCAUAAG
rnacentral:misc_RNA from 1 species